rnacentral:rRNA from 1 species
UACGGGGGGGGCGAGCGUUGUUCGGAAUUACUGGGCGUAAAGGGUUUGUAGGUGGCCUGCUAAGUCAGACGUGAAAUCCCCAGGCUCGACCUGGGAACUGCAUCCGAUACUGGAUGGCUUGAAUUCGGGAGAGGGAUGCAGAAUUCCAGGUGUAGCGGUGAAAUGCGUAGAUAUCUGGAGGAAUACCGGUGGCGAAGGCGGCAUCCUGGACCGACAUUGACGCUGAUGAGCGAAAGCUAGGGGAGCAAACGGG